rnacentral:rRNA from 1 species
UACGAAGGGGACUAGCGUUGUUCGGAAUUACUGGGCGUAAAGCGCACGUAGGCGGAUUUGUAAGUCAGGGGUGAAAUCCCGGGGCUCAACCUCGGAACUGCCCUUGAUACUGCAAAUCUCGAGUCCGAUAGAGGUGGGUGGAAUUCCUAGUGUAGAGGUGAAAUUCGUAGAUAUUAGGAAGAACACCGGUGGCGAAGGCGGCCCACUGGAUCGGUACUGACGCUGAGGUGCGAAAGCGUGGGGAGCAAACAGG